rnacentral:lncRNA from 1 species
GGUGUCACAUGCCAUUCUUCUGAUUUUCAUGAAUAUCCUCUAAAAGGCAGCUAAGCACUCGCUGUCUUCUUCCUUUUGCCUCAUCAAGCACGGGGGACGCUGGAAGGAAGAGGACACUCAGUGAUACAGAAUUGAAAAAGAGAAAGACCAGAUUUCCCAUGGAGAUGGAGAAAUUGGAAGCCCAGAUGAGGAACCAUCUCAUAUAAGCAAGCUUAUGUGUUUUGAUUUCGUGUUCAGAUAUUCUUAUCAAUGAUUUCCAGAAAGUGACAUUGAUUUGCUUUGGAAACAAUGAUGGAAAAACAGUGAGUGUGUACCGGAAUGCUUUUAGAGUUCUAAAAUCAUACUGGAAAAUGUCCGAGCAUUCCAACACAGCUAUAAACAGUACCAUGCUGUAUUUAUGGGGGGUGGCAAGUCUGUUUUUAAAAGUCUUUGCGAUAUUUUUUCUAUGUUUUUAAUUUAUUGAAUUAAAGCCAGAUUUAUUCAAUUAAGAUAA